GGCACUAGGUUUUGCUAAAAGUGAAAGUGAGGAAAUUGGACGUCGCAGUAAACGUCUUAUUGAUGCUGGUCGAGUUUGGUAUUUGAAACAAUUUGAUUUGGAUGCUUCUCUACUCUAUUAUGUCGACCGUUCUGUUUCUUUGGAAAACGUCGCACUGAUUGCGUGGAAUACGGGCAACAAAGUCAAGAAAAAAGGUUAGAAAUUUUGGUACAUUGCUAGUAGUGAGGUUCAUAUACCUACACAAGACUUACCUCCAUCUGACUGCUACUGCCUACACUCCUGACGUGCCUAGCUCACCCUCAUUGACCACGACUAGUUAAUAUCUUCCAGGUCAUUCAUUCAUGCCUGUAGUAAUCGGGCAUGCGAGUUACCGAGUGAAUUGGGUAGCAAAAUUUGUCUAUUAUGUCGUCACGUACAGUACAUAACCAGGGUGUCCACCGGCCUUGAAAAUCCCGGAAAGUCCUUGAAUUGGGAAAAAACUUCCAGGACUGGAAAGUCCUUGAAAAUCAG